UUACGGCUAUAUCACGUUGAAACACAGAUUUUCGUAAGAUUAUCGAAGUUAAGCAACGUCGUGCUUGGUCAGUACCUAGAUGAGUGACGGCUUGGGAAUUCCAUGUGAUGUAAG